AGAGUUUGAUUCUGGCUCAGGACGAACGCUGGCGGCGUGCUUAACACAUGCAAGUCGAACGGGAACCUUUAUUUCGGUAAAGGUGAGAGUGGCAAACGGGUGAGUAACACGUAGGCAACCUGCCGACAGGAUGGGGACAACAUUCCGAAAGGAAUGCUAAUACCGAAUGAAGUCACCGGAGGGCAUCCUCUGGUGAUGAAAGAUGGCCUCUGAAUAUGCUAUCACCUGUCGAUGGGCCUGCGUCUGAUUAGCCAGUUGGCGGGGUAACGGCCCACCAAAGCGACGAUCAGUAGCCGGUCUGAGAGGAUGAACGGCCACAUUGGGACUGAGACACGGCCCAG
rnacentral:rRNA from 1 species